CAGUGCAAGGAGGCGUGUGGCGGCUCAGGUGGCACCCGGUCCACCACCAUCUACUCCUGGCGGCCUGCAUGCACAACGGCUUCAAGAUCCUCAACUGCCAGAAGGCCAUCGGUGAGUGGGAACAUGAAGCUGACUUCAGGGUAGGGCGUCAGGUGAUGUUCUCCUUAAGCCACACUCAGAACUUAUACCUGCCUUGUAUCUACAUUGACAUCAGGUUCAAGAACAAACUUUCAUCCUGGCUUCUCAUGCCCAGCCUUCCUGGGUUGUGCAGUUCCCUAGCCCCUGGGACCCUGUCUGGAAGCCCUAACUCCUUUCUCUCUUCAUUCAGAUCAGUUGUGUUUCUUGUUCCUCUCCCUCUACUCCCCUCUGAAAAGAAGCAGUCUGAAGACUACCUCAGAUUCCCAUCAUUAAAUUGCUGGUCAUUACUCCUUGUAUCUCUUUAGUUGUCUAACUCUUUUUAAAAAAGAUUUAUUUUUACUUUGUGUGUGUAUUGUAUACAGGGUCUCAUGUAACCCAAGCUGGCUUCAAAUUUGAUAUGAACUCCAUGACAAUCUGUGUCUCAGUGUUUUGGGUCCUGGGAUUACAAAAGCAAGCAUGUCCGGUAUCCCUGCUCCCCUGGGUCACCUUCAGCCGUGCUCCUGACUU
rnacentral:lncRNA from 1 species